CUUUACAGUGCGCGCUACUCUCCCACAGUGUCCGCACGGGCACAACACACGGCCCCAGGACACGGGUGCCCUUUACUGCAUUUCCCGGGCCCAAUUUUACGUCAGGAAGGGAAAAGCUUUUCCUCUUCUCAAGAAAACUCAAAUACAUACUACAUCCAAAGAAACACUGAUGAGAAUGUUCUAUCACCCAAUCUAAAUGCCUUUGGGAACAGAAGGGAGCUGUCAUCAUUGCAAACCGGACGGCGAAUUCGGAAGACCGGCAGGCGGGAUUUGCACGGCACACACCGGCCAGAACGAGGUGCGUGCACACGGAGUGUCCACAGCCAAGGAAGAGAGUGGGGGAGGAUGCAAUAACAAUUCUUCCAGAUGGAAUUUACCAAAGGAGAGGAUACGUGGAGACAGGGAAGUGUGGACACCCAACAUCAAAUUCUUCUUGAAUCCUCAUUCUCCAUUGUCCAUCUGGCUGGGAUUUCUUUGGACUAUGGUCUAAUAAAGCUUGGCCAUCAUUCAUGAUUGCCUUCACAUUGCACGGAGGAAAAAGAAAAUAAACACCCACAUUACUAGAAUGAAAAUCUGCACACCAAAGUGGUCUGCUUAGCAGGGAGGGAACUGUAAAAACUAAAAGGGACAGAGGUUCUGCCUCACCUUUCAAAUCCCUGUGUGUUACCAUGGCCACAACGACUCCUAUUCAGAUGCCCAAGUCCAAACUACUUUCCAAUGGAGUUUCCAACUCCUUAGCUUACGAAAUUGGGU